rnacentral:misc_RNA from 1 species
GCCUGUUCAUUGGAUGAUCGAAUCUCGCGUUUCGUCAUCUCCCCUUCGGUUCCCUGUGUUGCAUACCUUCGCGACGGUAUCCUGUCGGCUAGAAUCGCCCCGUUUCGCCCGACGUCGCGAGCAACAUCGCGACCGAGGGCGAACCGAAAAGCACUCAUCGCGUUCCACCCCGUUCGCGUGACGCGCUGCGGGACACGGCCCGCGAUGACGUGCUCGAAUUCUCGGAUGCGGAACACAAUGCGGGCACGAGGACGUCGAUCCUCCGUUUGCCCCCGAACAAGCGUUCUACGCUCUGUGCGAACGACGUUCUUCCUCGU